rnacentral:rRNA from 1 species
UACGUAGGGCGCAAGCGUUGUCCGGAAUUAUUGGGCGUAAAGAGCUCGUAGGCGGCCAGUUGCGUCCGCUGUGAAAUCCCGGGGCUUAACCCCGGGCGUGCAGUGGAUACGGGCUGGCUAGAGGCAGGCAGGGGAGAACGGAAUUCCACGUGUAGCGGUGAAAUGCGUAGAGAUGUGGAGGAACACCAGUGGCGAAGGCGGCUUUUUGGUCUGUAACUGACGCUGAGGCGCGAAAGCGUGGGGAGCAAACAGG